rnacentral:rRNA from 1 species
UGGGGAAUAUUGGACAAUGGGCGAAAGCCUGAUCCAGCCAUGCCGCGUGUGUGAAGAAGGUCUUCGGAUUGUAAAGCACUUUAAGUUGGGAGGAAGGGCAGUAAAUUAAUACUUUGCUGUUUUGACGUUACCGACAGAAUAAGCACCGGCUAACUCUGUGCCAGCAGCCGCGGUAAUACAGAGGGUGCAAGCGUUAAUCGGAAUUACUGGGCGUAAAGCGCGCGUAGGUGGUUUGUUAAGUUGGAUGUGAAAUCCCCGGGCUCAACCUGGGAACUGCAUCCAAAACUGGCAAGCUAGAGUAUGGUAGAGGGUGGUGGAAUUUCCUGUGUAGCGGUGAAAUGCGUAGAUAUAGGAAGGAACACCAGUGGCGAAGGCGACCACCUGGACUGAUACUGACACUGACGCUCAUGCACGAAAGCGUGGGGAGCAAACAGGAUUAGAUACCCUCGUAGUCCCUGAGCGGGCUGGCAAGGCGCAU